AGAGAGAGGGAUAACAGCACCUUUGAGGAAAAGAGUGAAGCUUUUGGUUUGAUAGGAUUUUAAUUACCAGUAAUCAUUUAAUAAACAAAAAGUUUAUGAAGAAGACAAAUUUAAUUAUUUUUUCAGAACUAAGAUAGAUGGGAACUGGGCUAAAAUUUAAUUAUUGUUAAAGAGUUUAACAAUGUUGAUGGUACAUAUAUGUAUGUAGUUUAUUAUGCUACCACUAGAAAGUAAAUAACCGAACUUUCAAAUUCUGAGUAUGGACUAUUCACAGUGGCUGUAUUCUAAACUCAAAAUGGGAAAAAAAAAUUAUAUACAUUUACUACGUAAGUGCGACGAUCGCAGUUGUGACUUUUCGGCUAUCAUGCAGAGAUGGUUGCAUUCA
rnacentral:lncRNA from 1 species